ACAAAGCACACAAAUAGAUUUUAAAAUCAAAGUUAACAAUCCACAUAAAAAAUUAUCUACACAAUUAUAAAUUCACUAAAAUGUUAGAGUAAAAUUCUAUUAGUGCCCAAGCAGUGAAGGUGUGUAGGCACCCUAACUAUGUUUUAUUCUUGCCGUUAUUAUUAUUAUUAUUAUUAUUAUCAUUUAGUAGUAGUAGAUAUGGGAGUCUAUGACAGCCUGUAGAAACAGAACAGAGAGAGAACAAAGUCUGUGGGUUUCAUUCAAGCAGUCUCUCUCAUCUCAUUCAAUCCGGGUUAAAGAAAUAAGCAUGAUCACUGGAACCUUCAUAGCUGCAGACAUGAGACCACUCAUUAUAGUGAAGAAUGCAGGAGGUUUAAAAUGCAGACAGCUGCAUGACGUUCAGUGCAAAAGCAGAAUGACAAAUAAAACACCCCCAAGCUUGAGACAUUCACAAAAGUCACAACAGAAGGGUUGCAUUUUUAAUGGAAAACUUAGCUUUUGAAACAACAAAUCAGAAAUGUGUGCAUGCCAUGUUGAUGCCUAAAUAAGAAGAAAAAUGUCUCUCCCUUUUCCACUUCCUGAACAUUUUGGGCUAGUUUUAGGCCUUUUUGCACAAUUCUUUGAAGAAAUAUUUCUGCAGCCCAGAGACAGCUCCAAACAGGCAUUGCAGCUCCAAAUGGGUGGUACAGCUACAAAUAUUGAUCGCUCCAAAUGGGCAAGCAUGUUAACAUGAGAUUAGGUGGCUUGGUAGCAAAUGAUCAUAUGGGCCAUCUUCCCUAACCCUUAACCUAACCCAUUCCAUAGAUCACCCACUUGGAGCUGGCUCCAGGCUGCACAAUUUUAUGGGUCCUGCCAACACUGCACACUAAUGAAAGUCUGGCCAGAGAGUUAAUAUUGACAUUUACAUUUAUGGCAUGUAGCAGAUGCCCUUAUCUAGAGAGUACUUUGAAGUCUCCAUAAAAAACACGUCCUCAUGCUAGAUCCCUAGGUCAGGGAUUAAGAGUACCAUUAGUCUACCUUUUUUAUGAGCUAAAUAUGAAAAACACUAGAAAAGGAUUUUUAAAUAACAACGCACUAAUUUAAAUACAUGGUGAAGAGGUAGGUCUUGAGUCUUCACUUGAAGAUAGCAAGUGACUGAGCUGUUCAGACAGCCACGGAAAGUUCAUUCCACUACCUAGGUGCCAUGAUGUACAUCUUCCUUGUACCUUGAGAGCUGGUGAGUCCAAUCAAGCAGUGCUAGAGGAUCAGAGGGAGCAUAAUGCAGAGAGGGGUGUGGUGCAGAGUGGUGGAAGCUGGUCCAUUUUUGGCUUUGUAGGCAAGCAGAAUUUAAAUCUUAUGUGGGCAGCUACAAAAAGCUAGUGAAGGGAGUGUAGUAAUGUGGCAGUGUAGGAGAACUGUGGGGGGUUGAAAACAAAUCGUGCAGCUUGUCUUAAUUAACCAUGUUUAAUUUAAUUGCAUUCUAAUGUAAAGCUUUUGCUCAUUAUAUGCUGCCUCUGAAUGGGUCACACAGUCAAGUGUCAGUUACUGUACUUUUACAAAUCUUGAAUAGUUUACUCGGUUAACAAUGGACACCUAAGCAUUGCCUAAAUAUGUGCCUUAUUUCUGUUGUACUGAAAAUGUAUUGGCAUUUAAACUAAACAUGUCAUCAUUAAUUUCAGCACUUUUAUUUUCAUCUGUUGCAUUUUUCACUUUUUGCCAGCUAUUAAUUUUUUUUCUAAGAAUGCUCUGUUUUUUUUUUUGUUGGUCCCCCCCCCUCCCCAUCUAAAGUCAGCAAACAGAGGCCAUCCAUGUUGAAUCUACCUGAAGUGUCUCCAGCAGCUUCAGUCAGGUGUAUACAGAAAGCCAGGGCAUUGGACAUAGCAGGGCAAACUUCUGCACUUCCUGCCCAAUGCGACGCACAACCGAUCCGCCCUGCUCCUCCUGUGCUAGAAUGGACAUCAUGGCUUGAGCAAAAAGAUGUGCCCUUUUAAAUUGAUUGUGGCGAGGCAAAAACCACUGCUAACCCAGAAGAACAGUAAGUCUUGUCUGAAUUUUGCCAAAACUUUUGCCAUGAGUCGAAAGUGGAAUUGUUUGGAAGACAGGGGUCCCAUUACAUCCAGCGUAAACAAUACACAGAAUUCCACAUAAAGAACACCAUACAUACAGUCAAGCAUGGUGGUGGAAGUGUGUCGGGAUGCUUUGUGGCUUCAGGGUCUGGGCAACUUGCAAUAAUUGAGGGAAACACGAAUUCUGCUCUCUACCAGAAAAUCGUACAGGAGAAUGUCCGGUCUCCAGCCCCAUAAGUUGAAACUCAAGCGCAACUGGAUUAUGCAGCAAAACAAUGAUCCAAAGCAUAGGAGUAAAUCGUUCUCCAGUUAUUGCUGCUAAAGGUGGCACAACCAGAUUUUAUGUUUAAGGGAGCAAUUCGUUUUUCAGAUUGGAGAUUGGUGUUGGAUAACUUUUUUGCUUCAAUAAAAAAAUUAAAACGGUAUUGUAUGUUUAUUCAGGCUGCCUUUGUUAUGUUGUAUUUUGUUUGAAGAUCUAAAAUUAUUUAGUACAAGAUGUACACAAAAACAGAUGUGAAAAAGACUUUCACAGCACCAUAUAUAGAGGCCAUAUUACAAUAUGUAAAAACAGUAAGAAUCAGAAGACCAGAUUGGAAUUCACAAAGAAAUUCAGACAUGAGCUACAAAAGUUCUGGAACCAAGAUUAAACUCUACCAA